rfam:Gossypium arboreum cultivar AKA8401 contig_6454_7, whole genome shotgun sequence.
GUGUUACAGUGAGGACCUUUGCAUAGUAACUCUUUAAAUCUUUCUCAUGCCUUGUAUAAGGAUUCAUCAUCCAUUCGAUGGAAAGUAGUGAUCUCAUUCUGCAACUU